UACGAAGGGGGCUAGCGUUGUUCGGAAUUACUGGGCGUAAAGGGCGCGUAGGCGGCCCUCCAAGUCAGGUGUGAAAGCCCCGGGCUUAACCUGGGAAUUGCAUUUGAGACUGAAGGGCUUGAGUUUCGGAGAGGUGGGUGGAAUUCCCAGUGUAGAGGUGAAAUUCGUAGAUAUUGGGAAGAACACCGGUGGCGAAGGCGGUUCUCUGGGCCUGACCUGACGCUGAGGAGCGAAAGCGUGGGGAGCGAACAGG
rnacentral:rRNA from 1 species